GAUGAACGCUGGCGGCGUGCCUAAUACAUGCAAGUCGAGCGAACAGAUGAGAAGCUUGCUUCUCUGAUGUUAGCGGCGGACGGGUGAGUAACACGUGGGUAACCUACCUAUAAGACUGGGAUAACUCCGGGAAACCGGGGCUAAUACCGGAUAAUAUUUUGAACCGCAUGGUUCAAUAGUGAAAGACGGUUUCGGCUGUCACUUAUAGAUGGACCCGCGACGUAUUAGCUAGUUGGUAAGGUAACGGCUUACCAAGGCGCCGAUACGUAGCCGACCUGAGAGGGUGAUCGGCCACACUGGAACUGAGACACGGUCCAGACUCCUACGGGAGGCAGCAGUAGGGAAUCUUCCGCAAUGGGCGAAAGCCUGACGGAGCAACGCCGCGUGAGUGAUGAAGGUCUUCGGAUCGUAAAACUCUGUUGUUAGGGAAGAACAAAUUUGUUAGUAACUGAACAAGUCUUGACGGUACCUAACCAGAAAGCCACAGCUAACUACGUGCCAGCCGCCGCCGUAA
rnacentral:rRNA from 1 species